AUGUUGAAGAGGGGAAGAGGUCCAGAAAUUUACCCAAAGGGCACACUGAGGAUCACUUGUCAGAAAAGUCAUCAGGAAACACAAGCUACAGACUGCGAAAUCCAGGUCCGAGGGAAAGAAAUUAUCCGUGCUGGUCCCCCCAGAACAGUGGCUUUCCAUUCUGAAUUACGGUGGCAGAAGCCCAAAGGCGGCCCACAGAGGCACUUUCAGAUACACAUGCCUGACUGAGGCAGAAGAGUCAUGGCAACCCAAGGCAACACAGGCUGGCAAUAUUCAUUCCUAUGGAAUGCGAUGGUGGAAGAGUCAGACAUCUCUCCUCCUCGGUGAGCUUCCCUUCUUUGCUUAUUGAGCCUGAAUGAGUGCUCCCCCAUUGGCCCUGCCCAGCCCUAGACUGGAAUAUGAGAGGAGGGUCUCCUGAAGAAUGGUAUUCUGAAUUCUCUGCGGCAUUCCCAUGCUAUUGAGAUCUGAGCACUCCCGCGUGCUCUCUAGGGAUUGCUGAUUCCUUAUCGGGCCCCCUUACAGCCCCCCAGAAGCCCCUAGAUUGGGCAGCGGCCAUCUUGGAGGCCUCGUGCACCAGAACCCAGCGGGCCCAAUGGGGUGGGCUUUUGAAGGGCUGACGCAGGGACGUGUGGACACACAGCAGAGGGGCCCCGGGCAGCAAUAACGGUGCCUGUGCCUCCCUCCGUCCAUGCCGGGCUCCCGGGAUGGCCACAGUGUGUAACAGCCCCGCACCAGGCCACUUGCAGCAGCAAAGGUGGGAGCGAGGAGAUGAGCCGCAGUGGGUGCGUGGGGAGCCGCCUGGAAGCGCACGCGGCGGAGCCGGACGGGGGUGGGGGGUGGCGCGAGAGGAGCUGAGGCCACGCGGGCGGGUGGUGUGAUGCCCGUUGGGGGCCGAUGGAGGGGGGAGGGAGUUGACGCAGGAGCCCUGCAGAAUGUCCAAGCGCUGAUGUCACCGGCCAUCAGCUCUGAGCGGGGGAGGGGCGCCUAGCCAGGGCUUGGCUCCGCUAGGCUACGGCUCCCCCUCUGGCUGAGCAUGGAUACUGCACAGGAGACAGAUGCGGGGACCCGCCCAAAGCCCAGGCCAACCUCAGCUGCCUGAGCUGGGAGACCUGUGGGCAGGGAGCACAAGCUGAGGACCUGGGACAGCUCCCAGGGCAGGGAAAAGGUCCAGGACUGGUUCCUCCAGACCUGUCACAGCCCCGCGGGAGGGGGGCACGUGUGGCUGAGGGGGGGCCUCAGGGACACUGUGAAGUCAAGAAGUAAGGCAGGGGCUUGGCCAGGGCUCACACAGACAGCAAAGGGCCAAAGACGGCCUGGGAGCCUGCCAGGGUAGCUGCCUUUCAUCUCCUGGGCUCUGCUUCCACUGAGAGCCAAGCAAAAGUGGCCCAAAUUCCCUGCAAGCUACUCCAGCACAGCUGCUGAAGAAAUCCCUCAGAGCUAGGGAUGCUGGCAGGCUUCAGACUUCAACCUGGCCUAAGGGAGGGACCAAUCACUCCCCUGGCCUUUGGGUCAAAAGGGGGUGGACAGCCCCCAAGAUGAGCCUGAGCACAAUCCCUUGGCUUCUCCACUUGUGAAAUUGGGAUGACUCAGAACUGACUCCAUUUGGGCUCUCCUUCAACGUUUCCUGAACCUUGUAGGUAGCAGGCUGGGCAAAGUCCUUUUCUCCUGCCCUCAGACAAUUCUCUCUCUGGGAGGGGGACUGCUAUGUGUGUGACGGAGGGCCUUUGGCAGUCCAAAUGGGGCAGAGGUGGUCAAGAGUUGGCCAAAGGAUCAGAGAGCCUUGGAGUGGGUGGAGGGUGGGGGCAGAUUGACAGGACUUCAUUGGUGGGAAGCAAGCUGGAGAUGAGGGACAGAGAAUAGAGGUGGGAGAUUGUCAGCUGUACAAAAGGUCCUGCUUGGGUGGCAGAAUGGUGGGGGGGAUGCAGGGUGGGAUAGGAGGAAUCCUUCCCAAUAACAAGCUCUUGACCACAGCUCAUUGUGCCCUUUCCUGUCCCACCUUAGACUAGUCUGUGAUGUUCUACCAGCCAGAGGGAGAGCGCUUCUCCCCCAACAUGCAAAGAUCAUGGAUAUCUCUCACUCAACUUGUCUCUCUCUGCUUCCACAAAGACUGAAGAAGAGCAAGAAUUAAGAAGCAGGAGCCCAAUUCAAUGUAGCAUUGGGGCUCCGAGUAUAGGGAACAGCUUUCCCUGGAGGGCAAUAAACACUUCAUCACCACCGAAAUUGAUUCCA
ensembl:lncRNA